rnacentral:rRNA from 1 species
ACGGGAGGCAGCAGUGGGGAAUAUUGGGCAAUGGGCGAAAGCCUGACCCAGCAACGCCGCGUGAAGGAAGAAGGUCUUCGGAUUGUAAACUUCUUUUAUGAGGGACGAAGGACGUGACGGUACCUCAUGAAUAAGCCACGGCUAACUACGUGCCAGCAGCCGCGGUAAUACGUAGGUGGCGAGCGUUAUCCGGAUUUAUUGGGUUUAAAGGGUGCGCAGGCGGCACGUUAAGUCAGCGGUGAAAUGCAGGGGCUCAACCCCGGCACUGCCGUUGAAACUGGCGAGCUCGAGUACGGAUGAAGUCGGCGGAAUGUGAUGUGUAGCGGUGAAAUGCUUAGAUAUGUCACAGAACACCGAUUGCGAAGGCAGCUGACUAAUCCGCAACUGACGCUCAGGCACGAAAGCGUGGGGAUCGAACAGGAUUAGAUACCCUGGUA